rnacentral:rRNA from 1 species
AUUGAACGCUGGCGGCAUGCUUUACACAUGCAAGUCGAACGGUAACAGGCCUUCGUGUGCUGACGAGUGGCGGACGGGUGAGUAAUGCAUCGGAACGUGCCCAGAGGUUGGGGGUAACGCAGCGAAAGCUGUGCUAAUACCGCAUGUGAUCUGAGGUUGAAAGCGGGGGACCAGGCAGCAAUGUUUGGCCUCGCGCCUUUGUAGCGGCCGAUGUCGGAUUAGGUAGUUGGUAGGGUAAAGGCCUACCAAGCCGACGAUCUGUAGCUGGUCUGAGAGGACGAGCGGCCACACUGGAACUGAGACACGGCCCAGACUCCUACGGGAGGCAGCAGUGGGGAAUUUUCGGCAAUGGGCGAAAGCCUGACCGAGCAAUGCCGCGUGAGUGAUGAAGGUCUUCGGAUUGUAAAACGCUGUUAUAAGGAACGAAAAUAUGUUGACUUAACUGUGCACAUCUUGACGUUACCGUAAGAGAAAGCAACGGCUAACUACGUG